rnacentral:rRNA from 1 species
GACGAACGCUGGCGGCGUGCUUAACACAUGCAAGUCGAACGGAAAGGCCCUGCUUGCAGGGUACUCGAGUGGCGAACGGGUGAGUAACACGUGGGUGAUCUGCCCUGCACUUCGGGAUAAGCCUGGGAAACUGGGUCUAAUACCGGAUAGGAGCCAUUUUUAGUGUGAUGGUUGGAAAGUUUUUUCGGUGUAGGAUGAGCUCGCGGCCUAUCAGCUUGUUGGUGGGGUAAUGGCCUACCAAGGCGGCGACGGGUAGCCGGCCUGAGAGGGUGGACGGCCACAUUGGGACUGAGAUACGGCCCAGACUCCUACGGGAGGCAGCAGUGGGGAAUAUUGCACAAUGGGCGCAAGCCUGAUGCAGCGACGCCGCGUGGGGGAUGACGGCCUUCGGGUUGUAAACUCCUUUCGCUAGGGACGAAGCUUUUUGUGACGGUACCUAGAUAAGAAGCACCGGCUAACUA